rnacentral:lncRNA from 1 species
UUACACGUUAAGGGUAAAAGAGUAAUUUCAUCGUUGGAACACGCAUCUUGCAUGGUCGGGGGCAUAAUGGUAAUUCUGUCUUCACGCGGGAGAUUUUCCCGCUCUUUUGGUGACUCCUCUGGCAAAAAACCAUUUCCCGGGCGAGACUGACUUCUCUGGUGUUGACCGUUCCUCUGAUAAGGCCCAUCCCUCUGACUUCUCUG